UACAGAGGUCCCAAGCGUUGUUCGGAUUCACUGGGCGUAAAGGGUGCGUAGGCGGUCGGGUAAGUCUGGCGUGAAAUCUCCAAGCCUAACUUGGAAACUGCGUUGGAUACUAUCCGGCUCGAGGAACGGAGGGGAGACUGGAAUACUUGGUGUAGCAGUGAAAUGCGUAGAUAUCAAGUGGAACACCAGUGGCGAAGGCGAGUCUCUGGACAUUUCCUGACGCUGAGGCACGAAAGCCAGGGGAGCAAACGGG
rnacentral:rRNA from 1 species